rnacentral:rRNA from 1 species
UACGAAGGGGCUAGCGUUGUUCGGAAUCACUGGCGUAAAGCGCACGCAGGCGGAUCGUUAAGUCAGGGUGAAAUGCCGAGGCUCAACCUCGGAACUGCCUUGAUACUGGCGAUCUUAGAGUCCGGAGAGGUGAGUGGAACUCCGAGUGUAGAGGUGAAAUUCGUAGAUAUUCGGAAGAACACCAGUGGCGAAGGCGGCUCACUGGCCGGUACUGACGCUCAGGUGCGAAAGCGUGGGAGCAACAGG